rnacentral:miRNA from 1 species
UAUUCAGAAUGGCCUUGGUCA